AUGAUUUUAAAAGACUUUUUUUUGCUUUUUAGUUAAAAAAUACUUAUCUCAAAAUCAUACCUUUUGAGGUAGAAUUUAAAGGAAUUCAUUAAAAACAAAACAAAUAAACACACUUGCAAAACCACCAUCUCGGUAAACUUUCUCCGCAGGUCAACUCCGGCAACUCCGACAACUCCGGCAACUCUCCGCAGACCAUCUCUGUUUGUUUCAUGAAGAAGCCAAGGAGAUCAUCACCGGAAAUGAAGUUGCUCUUGACCUUGUUCAAGUUCUUCACCAUUAAAUAUAUGAUUUAAUUUGGCUAUGUAAUGUUUGUACUACAGUAAGAGUAGUUAUGAAAUAUGUCCAAUAGUACACCUUCUCUUGCUUCUC